CGCCGACGUAGUCGAUGGCGGCGGCGGCGUUGCGGGCCGCCUCGUGCAGCGCGGCGCGGGUCUCGUCGCUCAGGCCGGGGGCCGGGGCC
rnacentral:tRNA from 1 species